rnacentral:rRNA from 1 species
AUUGAACGCUGGCGGCAGGCCUAACACAUGCAAGUCGAACGCGUGGAGGACGGGUGAGUAAUGUCUGGGAAACUGCCCGAUGGAGGGGGAUAACUACUGGAAACGGUAGCUAAUACCGCAUACCCUCUGAUGUGCCCAGAUGGGAUUAGCUAGUUGGUGGGGUAAAGGCGUACCAAGGCGACGAUCCGUAACUGGUCUGAGAGGAUGAUCAGUCACACUGGAACUGAGACACGGUCCAGACUCCUACGGGAGGAAGCAGUGGGGAAUAUUGGACAAUGGGCGAAAGCCUGAUGCAGCCAUGCCGCGUGUGUGAAGAAGGUCUGCGGAUUGGAAAGCACUUUAAGUUGGGAGGCGUUACCAACAGAAUAAGCACCGGCUAACUUCGUGCCAGCAGCCGCGGUAAUUC